UACGUAGGUGGCAAGCGUUAUCCGGAAUUAUUGGGCGUAAAGCGCUCGCAGGCGGUUUCUUAAGUCUGAUGUGAAAGCCCACGGCUGAACCGUGGAGGGUCAUUGGAAACUGGGAGACUUGAGUGCAGAAGAGGAGAGUGGAAUUCCACGUGUAGCGGUGAAAUGCGUAGAGAUGUGGAGGAACACCAGUGGCGAAGGCGACUCUCUGGUCUGUAACUGACGCUGAGGAGCGAAAGCGUGGGGAGCAAACAGG
rnacentral:rRNA from 1 species